rnacentral:rRNA from 1 species
GACGUAGGGUGCAAGCGUUGUCCGGAUUACUGGGCGUAAAGAGCGCGUAGGCGGUCUGUUAAGUGUAGAGUGAAAUCUCUGGGCUCACCCCGGAAACUGCUCUGCAUACUGGCAGACUUGAGGGAAGCAGAGGUUUGUGGAAUUCCUGGUGUAGCGGUGAAAUGCGUUGAUAUCAGGAGGAACACCCAUGGCGAAGGCAGCAAACUGGGCUUCAUCUGACGCUGAUGCGCGAAAGCGUGGGUAGCAAACAGG